CGGACGGUUCAUAAGAUGUGGGUGGCUCUCCUGGUUGCGGCUCUAGUGGCCUUCCCUGCGUUGGCAGUAGGCGAAGGGACCUUCGAAAGCAGCACAGACUUUGCAGGGCUACCUAGACAAGGAACGGUAAAAACCACCUUUAGACCAACGACAACGACCAACGUCAUUUGGACUACUGCCGCUACCACUAUCACUACCGGUAGUUGGAUUGGGGGCUGCCCUGUAGAUUGUAGCCCUGGAAUUUGCUAUUUGUCGUCUCAAUGGGGCAACAAAUCUCCCGUCGGCUCAUGUCGUUGUCCGGAGGGAUGGACCGGGUCCA